AUACUUACCUGGACGGGGUCAAUGGGUGAUCAAGAAAGCCUAUGGCCUAGUUAGUGGCCUCCAUUGCACUUGGGAGGGGUGCUAGCCUAACGUCUCCCAAGCUGGGAGAGCUUA
rnacentral:snRNA from 1 species